AACAAAGCGGGAAGGGGCCGCUCCUGGGGAGUUUUUCCCAGCUUCCCUGGGCCGGUGAGGGGUCCUGGCGUCCUGAACUGGAGAUGCUCCUUAGAGGGCACUGCUUCAGCCACCCCUGCCUUAGCAUACAUACGGGUCCCACAGGGGUCCUUCGACACCAGCUCAUCGUCUGGGUUCCACCAUCCACCCACGCACUCAUUUGGCAGCUAUCAACGGAGUAUUCACAGUACGCUGCUCACAGUUCUAACCGCGGAGGAUAGAGUUGAGGCCCACACGACAGCCCCUGCUCUCACAGAACUGAUGUCUCUAGAAGAGUCUUCCCUCAGUGAGAACGUUCUGAUUUCUAGAACAUUCUUUCUUCUGAUGAGUGAACAGCCUCACCGGAACUUCCCCAUCCUCCUGGCUUGGUUCCUGAAGUGGCCCAAGGCUGCCUUCUCCCUCCCGUGGGUGAACAGGGUCACUGCUUCCUCUCUUGUCCAGGCCCCCUGGCCUGACCCUGAGUCCCGGGCGUAACGGCGUUGUUGAACCACCACAACCCCAGGCGGCGCCUUCCUCUUGGCCCAGGGGCUCUCUUGGGGACAGUGUGCAGUACUCCCCAAGGGGGCUUUGCUGUGCAAAAGCAGCCCCUGCCGAUGCUGCGGCUCCCGUGGAUGGAGCACUGCCGUGGGAACAGAGUUGGAACUCAUCCAAAAGAAUAAAAGACAACUGUGUUGGAAGAUUGCCAAGGUUUGUAGCUGUGCCACCGCAGACUUCAGAGAUGAACACUGCCUUGGAGACGAGGAGGAUUCAAGUUGCAGAAGCAUUUAGCAGGAAUCAGGAAAAUAUAAACUGCUUGAAGUACCAGUCUUCUUUACGAAGUCUUCACGUGCCCCAGGAGUCCUCCAGUUAGGGUGCCAUUAGCCAGGAGAGCUCCUGCCCAGAAUUUGUACCCAGCCACAUUGACACCCAGAAUGGAGCUACCUUGCCCAGCUUCCCUUACAACCAGGCAAGGAUGUCACAAUGUAGAACCAAUGGGAUGAAGGCAGAAACGUUGUGCGGCAGCUGCUGAGAACCUUCCUUAAAACCUAGUCAGAAUGAACCCUAUACAACCCUAUACCCAUCUGCCUUGGCAUACAGUUGUUGAAUCCUGGGCUGCGAGGACAGAGGUCCCUUCCAGGGGUGAUGGAGUGGUGAGUAGAAGGGAGCCUGGGUCCUGAGGACUUAAGGCAGAGUUGCCUUACCAGCUGUGGAAGGCAGAGCUUGGGCCUCAUGACUUUUGCCCUUGGCAUUAUUCAUGGAUAUGUUACAUUACAUGGCAAAAUGUAAUUAAGGUACCAAUUAGUUGACCUUAAAAUCGGAAGAUUGUCCUGGAUUCACCAGGUGGACCUAGUUUAAAUUGUAUGAGCCCUUGAAAGGGAAGAUCUUUUUCCAGCCCGUCGCAGAAGGGGAAGGCAGAGAUUUGAAGCAUGAGAAGGAUUCGCCAUGCAAUUAUUGGCUUGAAGAUGAGGGCAUCUGCAUGUCAAGGAGAUAGGGAUCUCAGUUUCACAACUGCAAUGAACUGAAUUCUGCUAACAACCUAGAUGCACUUGUAAGUGGAUUCUUCCCCAGAGUCUGCAGACAGCCCAGCCCAGCCAACACUUUGAAAGCCAAAGUGGAUUUUAGCUUUGAGAGUCCCUGAGCACAGAACGCAACUGCGCCACACUGUACCAGGACUUCUGGUCCAUGGAUGCUGUGAGCUAAUAACUUUGUGUCUUUUAAAGCUGCUGCAUGUGUGGUGAUUUGCUAUGCAGCAAUAGACAAUGGACAGGCUAGCCUGUAUGUAAGUGAAAAACAUCGUUUGUUUUCUUCUCAAUUGCAGCCCAACCUGAUCACAACUAAUGCACAAACAAAUAAUCCAAGGCUGAACUGUUGACUGUGGAGACAGGAGAUGCAGUGAAGAAUAUUUCUAUUUGAGUGACCCAGGUGGAGGAAGAGAGUGGAGGCAAGAAUAUAGAUGUAAGCAUCCUUGACCUCCCCAAUUCAUUGCUGGGCAGGAGGCAGAUAAACAGAGGCUUCCAGAAGGGUUCAUGUGAGUCCUGGAGCAGAAGGUUUGUCCAUGCAUCUUCAGACAUGGCCUGGAAAGAUUACUCACCUCUCAGAAAAAUCUGGGGGGCUGCUGCUUCUCAUAUUGAGUUAGAAGGCAGAGCUUGGACACUGGACCAAAUUGAGGACUAGCUAAAAUGCGGAUGGGGCAAAAACAACUUUCUAUAAGAUAUGCCCAACAGAGUGCCAUGUCGGUUUACCAUUGCCAGGGCAACACUCGAGCGGUACCACCUUUGUCCAUGGCAAUGACUCAACCACCUAGAAAUUACCACUCUUUUUCAAGAAAUUUUUGCAUAAUCUGUCCCUUAAUUUUCAAAGUAAAUAUAAGUGUGAGUACAAAACUGCUUCUGAGCUGCUGCUCUGGGCACACUGCCUCUGGGGUAGCCCUGCUCCACAAGGCACAACACCUCUGCUGCUGCUUCAAUAGAAGUUGCUGUCUAGCACCACUGGCUCACCCUUAAAUUCUUUCCUGGGCAAAGGCAACAACCCUCCCAGGUGAAGCCUCGAUUUUGGGUUCACCUGCCUUGCAUCAGUAUGACACGCAAAAGCAAAGAGAAGAUUCUUGGCGGUGGGUGUGAGAUGUGAUUCUCAGGUUCCCAGGGUCUUGGGCAAGCUAUUCCUUGGAGCUGGGCAUGCGAUGGGUGUGAUGGCAGCCUUGGGCUCUCCAAAGAAAGGCAGCCCCAGCAGGACAGUGGAAUUGGUGGGGAAGAAACACAGCCUUGCAGGCCAUGAGUCCCCCUAGCCACAGACACCUACCUUCACAGUGGGUCCAGCAGGGAGCCAGCCACUCUCUCAGAGCACCAGGACCCUAACCUUUCCCAGUGUCCACCUGCUGCUGGGGAGUAGGAAGAAGCAGGAUGUUCUUGAGGAGAGGAGACAUUCAGGAAGACUAAUUACCCAACUGCCUCCGACUGACAAGAUUGAGCAUUUACAGGUAUCUUGCAAUCAAUAAGAGUUCAAGAGCAAGAUAAGCUGAGGUACAAAAAAUAAUGAUGGUCACCUUUUGUUUUGUUUUGUUUUCUCGUUUGGCUCAUAUUGUAUAGUUUUCUAGCUUAUAAUGUAAAGAUUUAUCCUUUCCACAUUUUUGUUUUUUCCCCAUAAUUUUCAUUCUUUAUUUUAAAAGACUUUCUUCUUACUGGAAAAAAAAAGCAUAAUUCUAUGUCCAACACUGUACUGAAUGCUGUGUUUUUUUUUAAACUAAAUACAUUUUAAUAGAAAACAAAAUGCAAAAUAACUCUUUUCAGAAAACAAAUAUUUAAUCCUUUUCCCACAAAUUAGAACUUGCUUUAUCCUCAGAGCACCAUUGAAUUAUUUAGUUUAUAUUUUCUUCCUUUUUAAAUU
rnacentral:lncRNA from 1 species